rnacentral:rRNA from 1 species
AGUGGCGGACGGGUGAGUAACGCGUGAGAAUCUGCCUUGGGGUCGGGGACAACCACUGGAAACGGUGGCUAAUACCGGAUAAGCCGAUUGGUGAAAGAUUUAUUGCCCGAAGAGGAGCUCGCGUCUGAUUAGCUAGUUGGUGAGGUAAGAGCUCACCAAGGCAGCGAUCAGUAGCUGGUCUGAGAGGACGAUCAGCCACACUGGGACUGAGACACGGCCCAGACUCCUACGGGAGGCAGCAGUGGGGAAUUUUCCGCAAUGGGCGAAAGCCUGACGGAGCAAGACCGCGUGAGGGAGGAAGGCUCUUGGGUUGUAAACCUCUUUUCUCAGGGAAGAAGCUCUGACGGUACCUGAGGAAUCAGCCUCGGCUAACUCCGUGCCAGCAGCCGCGGUAAUACGGAGGAGGCAAGCGUUAUCCGGAAUUAUUGGGCGUAAAGCGUCCGCAGGUGGCGAUUCAAGUCUGCUGUCAAAGCACGGGGCUUAACUCCGUAAAGGCAGUGGAAACUGAAUAGCUAGAGUGCCGUAGGGGUAGAGGGAAUUCCCGGUGUAGCGGUGAAAUGCGUAGAGAUCGGGAAGAACAUCGGUGGCGAAAGCGCUCUACUGGACGGCAACUGACACUCAGGGACGAAAGCUAGGGGGGCGAAUGGGAUUAGAUACCCC